ACUUAAAUUGAAGAGUUUGAUCAUGGCUCAGAUUGAACGCUGGCGGCAGGCCUAACACAUGCAAGUCGAGCGGUAGCACAGAGAGCUUGCUCUCGGGUGACGAGCGGCGGACGGGUGAGUAAUGUCUGGGAAACUGCCUGAUGGAGGGGGAUAACUACUGGAAACGGUAGCUAAUACCGCAUAACGUCGCAAGACCAAAGUGGGGGACCUUCGGGCCUCAUGCCAUCAGAUGUG
rnacentral:rRNA from 1 species